CGGAGGGUGCAAGCGUUAUCCGGAUUCACUGGGUUUAAAGGGUGCGUAGGUGGGCUGGUAAGUCAGUGGUGAAAUCUCCGAGCUUAACUUGGAAACUGCCAUUGAUACUAUCAGUCUUGAAUACCGUGGAGGUUAGCGGAAUAUGUCAUGUAGCGGUGAAAUGCUUAGAUAUGACAUAGAACAUCAAUUGCGAAGGCAGCUGGCUACACGAAUAUUGACACUGAGGCACGAAAGCGUGGGGAUCAAACAGGAUUAGAUACCCUGGUAGUCCACGCCCUAAACUAUGGAUACUCGACAUUUGCGAUACACUGUAAGUGUCUGAGCGAAAGCAUUAAGUAUCCCACCUGGGAAGUACGACCGCAAGGUUG
rnacentral:rRNA from 1 species